rnacentral:rRNA from 1 species
CCUACGGGGGGCAGCAGUAGGGAAUAUUGCUCAAUGGGGGAAACCCUGAAGCAGCAACGCCGCGUGGAGGAUGACGGUUUUAGGAUUGGAAACUCCUUUUUUUAGAGAAGAUUAUGACGGUAUCUAACGAAUAAGCACCGUCUAACUCCGUGCCAGCAGCCGCGGUAAUACGGAGGGUGCUAGCGUUACUCGGAAUUACUGGGCGUAAAGAGUGCGUAGGCGGGGUAAUAAGUCAGAUGUGAAAUUCUGUGGCUUAACUACAGAACUGCAUUUGAAACUGUUACUCUGGAGUGUGGGAGAGGUAGGUGGAAUGCUUGGUGGAGGGGUAAAAUCCGUAGAGAUCAAGAGGAAUACUCAUUGCGAAGGCGACCUGCUGGAACAUUACUGACGCUGAUGCACGAAAGCGUGGGGAGCAAACAGGAUUAGAUACCCUUGUAGUC